AGCUACUAGAGGACGCCCGUUCCAAUGGCAACUCUGCCAAGGCGCCUAUGAGAGCCUCUUGGCUUUUACCUGGUCUGCGAGAAAUCAAACUUUGGGCACAAGUCAUGAAGCCGACAAGCCCGGGAGACACAGUGUCAGAAUUACAAGGUCUCGCAUCUGGGGCUCGAUCUCGUGCAGAGGAGCAUUUCCGAAGACACUGGCCGCUCCCACAAUGGCUCCGAAGAACCCAGCGACCAGCGGGUUCAUGAGUUUGUUGGGGCUGUCCACUCGGUACCAGCUGCGCAGGGAUGUCAGGACAAAGAAACAAGUUGCCUGGUUCCAGCCCUGCUUCAGCACGGGGCCUGUGGGGCCCCGGUAAGUCCCGGUGUUCCCGCACAAUCUCCUAACCCUGUGGAAGAAUCCCCUGUACUUGGAUUUGGAGAGGUCUGGCCAUGGAUUAACUUCACCUUGAUGGUCUCCAUGGGACAUAGGACCACCACGGCCUCGGCCACGCUAGCUCACUGGCCGCACCGCUGCCCGCCUUGCUGUUCACCAGUCCCUGGGCAUCCCGCAUCUGGUUGCUGAGGAACGCCUGACGCCGCCUUGUGGAUGAAGCCGCAGAGCAGGGAGCUGAGGCUGCGGCCCAGGCCCAGGCUGCCUUGGCUGCGACUGUGUGCCUGCAGGCCCCAUGCCCGGUAUCCGGUGGAUGCGAGUGCUAGUCCAGCUGCAGCUGCAUCUUCACGAACUCGGUGGGGAACGGGAUGCAGAUUUUUUUUUUCUUUUCCUUCCUUCCUUCCUUCCUUCCAACUUCCUUCCUUCCUUCCCCUUUCUUUCUUUCUUUUUUUUUUUUUUUUUUUUUUGACAGAAUUUUGCUCUUGUCCCCCAGGCUGGAGUGCAGUGGCGCGAUCUUGGCUCACUACAACCUGGAUUCAAGCGAUUCUCCUGCCUCAGCCUCCCGAGUAGCUGGGAUUACAGGCAUGUGCCACCAUUCCCGGCUAAUUUUUUUGUCUUUUUAGUAGAGACGGUGUUUCCCCAUGUUGGUCAGGCUGGUCUCAAACGCCUGACUCAGAUGAUCCGCCCGCCUCGGCCACCCAAAGUGCUGAGAUUACAGGCUUGAACCACCGCGCCUGGCCCUGUGAUGUAGAUUUUGAUGCUGCCAGCCAGGCUGCCUGCCGGGAUCGCCUGCCCUGGAGCAGGAGCAUCAGCCGUGCGUUCCAGGACGCAGGCAUGGCAUGACCGGCAGGAGGCGGAGUGCCCGGCGUCUCUUGGGAUCGGAGCCUCCUGAAUUCCACGCUGGGACCUUAAUUUGGUUUUAACACAAAUAAAGAUCUCACAUAAAGAUAAAA
ensembl:lncRNA LINC02987 long intergenic non-protein coding RNA 2987